rnacentral:tRNA from 1 species
AUCUGGCUGGCUCACUGGGUGGAGCAUGAGACUCUUGAUCUCAAGGUUGUGAGUUCAAGUCCCACAUUGGGUA